rnacentral:rRNA from 1 species
UACGUAGGGGGCAAGCGUUGUCCGGAUUUAUUGGGCGUAAAGAGCGUGUAGGCGGCCAGGUAGGUCCGUUGUGAAAACUCGAGGCUCAACCUCGAGACGUCGGCGGAAACCCUCUGGCUAGAGUCCGGAAGAGGAGAGUGGAAUUCCUGGUGUAGCGGUGAAAUGCGCAGAUAUCAGGAAGAACACCCGUGGCGAAGGCGACUACCUGGCCUGUUCUUGACGCUGAGGCGCGAAAGCUAGGGGAGCAAACGGG